UGGGGAAUUUUGGACAAUGGGCGAAAGCCUGAUCCAGCAAUGCCGCGUGCAGGAUGAAGGCCUUCGGGUUGUAAACUGCUUUUGUACGGAACGAAAAGGCUCUGGCUAAUACCUGGGGCACAUGACGGUACCGUAAGAAUAAGCACCGGCUAACUACGUGCCAGCAGCCGCGGUAAUACGUAGGGUGCGAGCGUUAAUCGGAAUUACUGGGCGUAAAGCGUGCGCAGGCGGUUUUGUAAGACAGAGGUGAAAUCCCCGGGCUCAACCUGGGAACUGCCUUUGUGACUGCAAAGCUGGAGUGCGGCAGAGGGGGAUGGAAUUCCGCGUGUAGCAGUGAAAUGCGUAGAUAUGCGGAGGAACACCGAUGGCGAAGGCAAUCCCCUGGGCCUGCACUGACGCUCAUGCACGAAAGCGUGGGGAGCAAACAG
rnacentral:rRNA from 1 species